rnacentral:misc_RNA from 1 species
AGGCAAGCAGCCCUGCAAUGGACGCCUAUAAGAACCAUUGUAAUUACUCAGUUUGGAAAUAUAAUUUCCUUUCAAAAGACAGAGAGAAAGAGAUCUAGAGAGAGAGAUGGAAAGAACAUCAUCUUCCUCUUCAAAGGAAGGAUACAACAGAGUAGCAUGGACUGCUCUUGAAGACAAAAUGCUCAUGGAUUACGUCUCCAUGCAUGGUGAAGGAAAAUGGGAUAGGGUUGCCAAAAAAAUAGGUCUAAGGAGAUGUGGAAAGUGCUGCAGGCUUCGUUGGUUGAAUUACCUGAAACCUGGAAUAAAGAGAGGGAACUUCUCAGAAGAUGAAGAAGAACUCAUUAUCAGGCUCCACAAGCUCUUAGGCAACAGAUGGUCUCUAAUAGCAGGAAGACUUCCAGGCAGAACAGAUAGCGAAAUAAAAAAUCACUGGAACGCUAAUUUAGCUAAGAAGGCGAAAGUGUUGCAAUUCACCUUGCCUAAACUUCACAAGCAAAAACAACCUCCACCUUCAUUCACAGCAGAAACCCAGAAACAAGAAAUACUCGACUAGUUAAUGUGGCAAUAUAACCAUUACCAUAUCAGCAAAUGUUACAAGCUACGAAACUGAAAAAUCACCAUUGCAGCUGUGUGGGGAGGAAGAAUUUCAAAUGAUUGUAAUGUGGAAGAUUUUUUCAAGAUUAUUCAUUCAGAAUACUUUGCAAACGCAAUGGUUCGAUUGUGUGAUUUUUUUUUUCUAUUUUUUUUUUAUCACAAUGUAACUUAGCCUAUAUAUAUAUAUAAUGGAGGAAAAUAAUGUAUUCAGUCUGGGCAUUUACACAAGCGUUUU